CCUACGGGGGGCUGCAGUGGGGAAUAUUGCACAAUGGGGGAAACCCUGAUGCAGCGACGCCGCGUGAGUGAAGAAGGAAUUCGUUAUGUAAAGCUCUAUCAGCAGGGAAGAAAAUGACGGUAACUGAGUAAGAAGCCCCGGCGAACUACGGGCCAGCAGCCGCGGUAAUACGUAGGGGGCAAGCGUUAUCCGGAUUUACUGGGUGUAAAGGGAGCGUAGACGGCAGUGCAAGUCUGGAGUGAAAGGCGGGGGCUCAACCCCCGGACUGCUCUGGAAACUGUACGGCUGGAGUGCAGGAGAGGUAAGUGGAAUUCCUCGUGUAGCGGUGAAAUGCGUAGAUAUUAGGAGGAACACCAGUGGCGAAGGCGGCCUGCUUGACGAUGCCUGACGUUGAGGCUCGAAAGCGUGGGGAGCAAACCGGAUUAGCUACCCGUGUAGUC
rnacentral:rRNA from 1 species